UACGUAGGGUGCAAGCGUUAAUCGGAAUUACUGGGCGUAAAGCGUGCGCAGGCGGUUUUGUAAGACCGAUGUGAAAUCCCCGGGCUUAACCUGGGAACUGCAUUGGUGACUGCAAGGCUUAAGUGUGUCAGAGGGAGGUGGAAUUCCGCGUGUAGCAGUGAAAUGCGUAGAUAUGCGGAGGAACACCGAUGGCGAAGGCAGCCUCCUGGGAUAACACUGACGCUCAUGCACGAAAGCGUGGGGAGCAAACAGG
rnacentral:rRNA from 1 species